GACCAAGAAGUCUAACAUGUGUGCGAGUCAUUGGGUAUAUUGUUGAAACCUAAGGGCGCAAUUAAAAUAACUAUUUUAUGGGAUUACAAGUGAAUUAAAUUUCAUUUCUUCAUCCCGGGGCGUUCUAUACGAACAUGGUGCAAGCAAUUGAACCCUCUGUUCAAGAGCGUACCUUGAGCAUACAUGCUGUGACCCGAAAGAUGGUGAACUAUACCUGAUCAGAUCGAAGCCAGGAGAAAUUCUGGUGGAGGAUCGAAACAGUUCUGACGUGCAAAUCGAUUGUCAGAAUUGGGUAUAGGGGCGAAAGACCAAUCGAACCAUCUAGUAGCUGGUUCCCUCCGAAGUUUCCCUCAGGAUAGCUGGCGCAAAGAAUUAUAUUGUAUAUAAUCUUAUCUGGUAAAGCGAAUGAUUAGAGGCCUUGGGGCCGAAACGACCUCAACCUAUUCUCAAACUUUAAAUGGGUAAGAACCUCAUCUUUCUUGAUCUGAAGAUAUUGGGGUUUAGAUAUAUUGUGCCCAGUGGGCCACUUUUGGUAAGCAGAACUGGCGCUGUGGGAUGAACCAAACAUGAUGUUACGGCGCCUAAAUUAAUGACUCAUAUUGAUACCAUGAAAGGCGUUGGUUGCUUAAAACAGCAGGACGGUGGACAUGGAAGUCGUAAUCCGCUAAGGAGUGUGUAACAACUCACCUGCCGAAGCAACUAGCCCUUAAAAUGGAUGGCGCUCAAGUCAUAUGCCUAUACAUCAUCGCUAGAAUAAAAAUUGUUGACCAUUUUGGUGAUCAUUAUGAAAUUCUAGUGAGUAGGAGGGUACAAUGGUGUGCGCAGAAGUGUUUGGCGUGAGCCUGCAUGAAGCCGCCAUUGGCACAGAUCUUGGUGGUAGUAGCAAAUAAUCGAAUGAGAUCUUGGAGGACUGAAGUGGAGAAGGGUUUCGUGUGAACAGUGGUUGAUCACGAGUUAGUCGGUCCUAAGCUUUAUGCGAAAGCUGUUUAAUUUAUGUUACACACAAAAUUUUUGUUGUACAUAAUUCAAUAAAAGCGAAAGGGAAUACGGUUCCAAUUCCGUAACCUGUUGAGUAUACGUUUGUUUAUUAAAAAUGGGUCUUAUUACACUCAUCCUGGCAACAGGAACGACCAUAGAGAAGCCUUCGAGAGAUACUGGAAGAGUUUUCUUUUCUGCUAAACAAACGUAUCACCAUGGAAGUCUUUUAUAGAGAGAUAUGGUGGAUGGCUUGGAAGAGCAUGACAUUUACUGUUGUGUCAGUAUUUUCUCCUUGGACCUUGAAAAUCUAUGGUGGGGCCACGCAAACUUCUCAACAGACCGUACCGAUAUCCGCAG
rnacentral:rRNA from 1 species